AUGAUCCCAAGGUUCUGCCUCAGUUUCCCCUGCCCUGGGAGGUGUCCUGGCAUCCACAGCCUGGUGCCAGCCCCAGGGGCCCCCUGUGCUUGGAACAGCCUCAUCGCGGUCCCAGAACUGCUUCCGGGCAGGUGGUUCUGUUCACUGAGUCUGGGGCACGUGGGUCUGGCUGAGCCCUCGGACCACCGUCCUCCCCCACCCAUGACCUGUUCCUCCUCCGUCCUGGACGACACUGCUCCAUCCCACCGAGGAGCGCGGGGGCCUGAGAGCCCCCUUCCCCGGACCAAGCUGCGAGGUCCCCUGCCCUCCUGGAACAUGACGGACAAAUUUGCAACCGAGAAGCUGACCUCCAGGGGCUCUGACCUCGUGGCGCCAGCGGUCCUCGGCAAGUGCUGCGGCUGCUGGCAGGCAGCAGGUGACGUGCAGCCUGGUUCCCGCCGCAGCCAGAGCUGCCUGGGGGCUGUCUUUGCUCAGAACUGUGUUUCCAGCCAUAUGUCGGCAUUUCUCAGGAGCACACCUACCCCUCCUCUGACCUCCAGGAGCUUAUGAAAAACGCACAAGCUGCUCUAGAAAACAGUGUGGCAGUUCCAGAAAACUAGAAACAGAGUUACCAUAUGACCUGGCAAGUCCAUCUGUGGGCACACCCCCCCCCCAAAGAACCGAAAGCAGGGACUCAGAGAGCCGUUUGCACGCCCACGUUCACCGCAGCACCGGUCCCCACAGCCAACAGGUGGGACAGCCCAAGUGUCCACCCACAGAGGGACGGACGAGCCCGGCGUGUCCACGCAGUGGGCUCUUCAGGCUUGGGAGCCCAUGUGGGGCAGCUGCGCGGGGUGGGGUUCGGACGGCAGGCUACACGCUUGGCUGAGUGAGGCUGGGGCUGCCCGGCCUGCUUAACUCAACCUCUAGUGAUGAGUGACUCAUAGCUGGUUGCCUCAGAUCAGGGAAAUGGAAAAACCCCAAGAGUGUUAAUAAAUAUUUUCCUUAUAAACCUCAUUAAUUAUAUCUCUACACGGGCUGGGAGAUGUUGACUUCCUUCUGUUCAGGUCUCCGGGGGCGGGGGGCUCUGGGUCCUGGGCCCCCCCCCCGGCUGUAUAGGGAAACUGUGAUGAUCAAGGUGGUGGUGGCGACGGUGGUAGGUCAGAAGUUGGACACGCAGCUCUGGGCUGCGGGGGGGAGUCGGGCCCGGAGGUGAAAAAUGGGAUGUUACCUGUGACAGGUGGCAUUUAUCCCAGAUCAGGGCUGGGGCCCUGCGUGCGGGGCUGGCGGGGAGGAGACUGGGAAGGAAGGGGGGCUGGGACACGGUCUUUCUGGACUCUGGACACCCCACUUCACGAUCCUGCCCUUGGUCACAGCAGGGUGGCCGGCCCCCUCCUUCCGUCCCUCAGCCCUGCUUUCCUGCGCCGACCACACCCUUGGCGGGACCAGGCCCACAAGGAAAUGCAUUCCAGCAGCUGCCGUCCUGGGCACCGCGGCGGGGUGGGCAGGAGGGCGGCCCGCCCGGGACUGGCUUUUCAUUGUUGUGUUCUGUUCAGUGUCAGUUUAGGGCAACAUUAAGCUCCAAACCGUGGAGUGAACACAGUGGCAUUCCAUUGUGCUCGGCGGGGCGGGAAAUGCUCGCUGGCCCAGGCACUGCCCCUCGGUGGCUGGCCUGCUGCCCUCGCAGUCCCGGACAACGGCCUGGCUCCGCUCCAUCCGCGGCCGGGGCGCGCGCUUGCGGUGCUUCCGCUCCGUAUCGCAGGCAGCGACCGGGAAAUGGGAAAACAGCUCAUAAGAUGGGGAUUUGCAUUAAAUGUUCUUUGACCUCAUUUCUGAGAAGGAAGUCAAGGCUGGGGCCUCUGCAUGCCUGGUCCCAGGGCAUGUGUCCGGGCGCUGGCGGGAGGACGGGCGCUCCUCUCUGGGGGGGCGGCCUUGCUGGGCCCUCCGCGCACCGCGCUGGCAUCAUCUGCUCUUUUUUGAUGGAGCCGGAAGCAGUGUGGUUUGGGAGGGCAUUUCCCUUUUGUGAUAGUGACAUAUUCCGAUAAUAAAGAACUUCCCUUAAAAAUAGCCAAAUGCAAAAAAGAAAUAUCCAAAUGCAGAAUUGCCCGGAGGUUUCAUAGGAGGCUCGCUUAGGGGCGCUUCUGGGGCUGAGCCCCUGUCUGAGGGGGGGUGGCCAGCACGGGCCGAGGGAACAGGGGCCAGGGCCCGGCUUCGGCCCCGGCAGCCCCUGUGGGUGCCAGGCCAGAGGAAGGGGAGCCGUUGAGCCACACGCGGAGUCCCGGCGUCUCCCACCUGCACCCCACCCCACUUCCUGUCCCUCUGCACUCGGGGCCCACAGCCCAGGCAGGAAGUCACCUCUUGCCGAGCCCCUGAAGGCAGACAAGGGCGACCUCACUGAGCGCAGUGUAUUUCUGCUUCGGUCUGGUUCGGGGUUCACCUGGGGAAGUGGGCAGGGCCCAGCCCCGCGGCCACCGCCCGCCUGCACAGCGAGUCACAAAACCGAAACCGUCGGGCAGAGAGGAGCCUGCCUCACCUGACACUGGCCCUGGACCUUCCCCCAGAGGGGAACUGGGAAGGAGUCACGUCUCGCUGCCCUCUCUGCCACCCUCGGCCAGGGUCCUGAGUCCUUGGCCCUGGGGCCUCCUCCCUGGAACAUUCUGGACCUGGUCACUGCCACUCACAGGUGGCCAGAGACGCACUUGGUCCGAAGGCAGGGAGUGGCCCGUGCGCCCCGCACCCCCGACGAGGCUCUGGGUACAUGUGGGACGGUGGCCCCCCCGCCCCCCUCCUGUGCUGAGUCACGGCCCGGAUCCUGCGCGGGCGCCGGCACUUCUGGCGGCAGAGCUGCGAGCGCCCCGUCCUUCCUGCCCCCCCGACAGGCACAUUUCAGCCCUGGAAAUGUA
rnacentral:lncRNA from 1 species